AUGCAUAAGCUCGUAAACGUUCAUUAUUUGGACAAGUCGACAUUUAUGCUUGGAAAUGACGAUGAAGGGGAAGAGGCUAUGGUUUUUGACACAAGUCCAAGCUUUGAUGAUCUUGUAGUUCAAGUGAGAAGCGUCUUACAUUGGAAUGACCCAAAUGCCGAGGUUAAGCUUAUUGGGAGGUAUGACGUUGGAUUGGGAGUAAAGUCCCGAUUAAAGAGUAUGCUCAUCACCUCCCAAUUGCAUUGGAAUGUGUACAAGGAAAAAGUAGACGCAUCACAAGACAAGUCUCUUGAAAUCUUUGCCACAAAGGUUGAUCCUCCUCCUCCUCCUUUGCAAAUUGAUCUCAACCGCAAUGCAUCCUCCCCCAUGCAUGAUGACAGUGCCGAGGUGUAUGUCCCCAAUUCUUCUAGCCAACCACCAAGUAGCCAACCC
rnacentral:rRNA from 1 species